rnacentral:sRNA from 1 species
AGAUUUUAUAGACCAGUGGAAUACAGGCCUUGUGCAUAUGAAGAUCAGGUGACAAGUUUGCUGCCUACCAGCCUCCACAGCAAUAUGCCCUUUCACGAAUCCAAAGGACUGCAUGACACACCAUAGGAUAUAGUCAAGAAGCCUUUGGACAUGGGAGUUUGAAGCUCAAAGGAGAAUUCAUACCUGAAGAGAAAUUUGGAAGCCAUCAAUACAUUGACAAAUAAAAAGAAGUGUUAAGAAU